rnacentral:rRNA from 1 species
GACGAACGCUGGCGGCGUGCUUAACACAUGCAAGUCGAACGGAAAGGCCCUGCUUUUGUGGGGUGCUCGAGUGGCGAACGGGUGAGUAACACGUGAGUAACCUGCCCUUGACUUUGGGAUAACUUCAGGAAACUGGGGCUAAUACCGGAUAGGAGCUCCUGCUGCAUGGUGGGGGUUGGAAAGUUUCGGCGGUUGGGGAUGGACUCGCGGCUUAUCAGCUUGUUGGUGGGGUAGUGGCUUACCAACGCUUUGACGGGUAGCCGGCCUGAGAGGGUGACCGGCCACAUUGGGACUGAGAUACGGCCCAGACUCCUACGGGAGGCAGCAGUGGGGAAUAUUGCACAAGGGGCGGAAGCCUGAUGCAGCAACGCCGCGUGCGGGAUGACGGCCUUCGGGUUGUAAACCGCUUUCGCCUGUGACGAAGCGUGAGUGACGGUAAUGGGUAAAGAAGCACCGGCUAACUACGU